GUGUCAGCAGCCGCGGUAAUACGUAGGUGGCAAGCGUUGUCCGGAUUUAUUGGGCGUAAAGAGCGCGCAGGCGGUGCGUUAAGUCCGAGGUGAAAUCUCCCGGCUCAACUGGGAGCGGUCUUCGGAUACUAGCGGACUUGAGGAGAGCAGAGGUGAGUGGAAUUCUCGGUGUAGUGGUGAAAUGCGUAGAUAUCGAGAGGAACACCAGUGGCGAAGGCGACUCACUGGGCUCCACCUGACGCUGAGGCGCGAAAGCGUGGGGAGCGAACCGGAUUAGAAACCCGGGUAGUCC
rnacentral:rRNA from 1 species